rnacentral:rRNA from 1 species
UGACGCUCUCCCCAAGGACACAAGCCAUGCAUGCCCGCGCACCCGGGAGGCGGCGGACGGCUCAGGACAACGGUUGCACCCCCCGCGGCGGUCCUUGCUAACCGGACACCGCUGGCAAUCCGGCGCCAAUAAGGA